UCGGGGAUACACUAAUGGUAGGUGAUGGGACUUUGACUCCCAGUGUGUUAGUUCGAGUCUAGCUCCCCGAGCCA
rnacentral:tRNA from 1 species